rnacentral:rRNA from 1 species
CCUACGGGAGGCUGCAGUAGGGAAUAUUGCUCAAUGGGGGAAACCCUGAUGCAGCAACGCCGCGUGGAGGAUGAAGGCUUUAGGAUUGUAAAGUCCUUUUGUCAGAGAAGAUGAUGACGGUGUCAAACGCAGAAGCACCGGCCAAUUCCGUGCCAGCAGCCGCGGUAAUACGGAGGGUGCAAGCGUUAGUCGGAAUCACUGGGCGUAAAGUGUGCGGAGGCGGGGUAAUAAGUCAGAUGUGAAAUCCUGUAGUUUAACUACAGAACUGCAUUUGAAACUGUUACUCUGGAGUGUGGGAGAGGUGGGUAGAAUUCUAGGUGUAGGGGUAAAAUCCGUAGAGAUCAAGAGGAAUACUCAUUGCGAAGGCGGCCCGCUGGAACAUUACUGACGCUGAUGCACGAAAGCGUGGGGAGCAAACAGGAUUAGAUACCCCGGUAGUC